rnacentral:rRNA from 1 species
AUCCAUAGGUCUCGACCAAAUCUUGUGCCAGCAGUCGCGGUAAGACAAGGGAGACGAGUGUUAUUCAUCUUUAACAGGUAUAUAGGGUACCUAGACGGUGUGCAAUGGCUUAAAUAAGUACCUGGUACACUUGAGUUUGAUAUGUGAGAGGAAUAUGUCGGAAUUGUUGGAGGAAAGAUGAAAUUUGUUAAUACCAAUAGGACUGAUAACGGCGAAGGCAAACCUCUAUGUACAUGUACUUGCUAUUUCUGUUUUUAUUAUAGCAAAAUAGCAAUGUACUAUAACUGACGUUGAGGGACGAAGGCUCAGAGAGUGAAGAGGAUUAGAUACCCCC